rnacentral:lncRNA from 10 species
GAAAGCCUUUGGUUCAGCCAGAGCUGAGCAGACAACUGGACAACCAGCUGCAGAGAGGAACUACCCUCUCUGCUGAGAGCUUCAGAGACCUGCGCAGACAUCGGGACUACCAGCUGCAGAGAGAAGCUACCCUCUCCAGGGCCUCUUCUCUGCUGGGAGCAGCAGACAUUGGGAUGACCUGCUGCAGAGAAGAGCCUCACUCUUCAAGGCUUCCUUUCUGAUGAGAGCAGCAGAGAUGGGGCCAACCAGUUGCAGAGAGGAGCCACGCUCUCUAGGGUCUCCUCUAUGCUGAGAGCUGAACACUCACUGAAGUGACCCGCCAGCAGAGAGGAGCCACCCACUCCACCCACUCCAGGCCUCCUCUCUGCUGAGAGCUGAAUACUGGAUGGGACAACCUGCCUACAGAGAGGAGCUACUCACUGUUGGUCUCCUCUGAGCUGUUCUAAUACUCAGUAAGGCUCCUUUUUAUCUUGCUCACCCUCCACUUGUCUGCAUACCUCAUUCUUCCUGGAUGCAGGGCAAGAACUCAGGCAAAGGUGCCACCAGCCACAGAGGUUUCUAGCCAGAAAAGUGACACACAAAAGAUCCCAUAACAUUUUGGGGGCUGAUGUGGGAUCUGUGGAAGGGUGAGUAAAAGUGGAUCUGCUUUUUGUCCUUUUUUUCAGAGUCCUUAACUCCACAAUAGUUAAAAUGAAAGAAAAAUACUGAGCAUCUGUCAGCCAGUUAAAAGUGACUAGCUCGGCUGGCAAACUUAUGACACAGAGGGCAGGCUUGCUGGAAAGGACACCAUCACCCUCAGGUGUUGGGAAUGUUGGCUUUGUUCCAAACCAAUUUCCCUUCGCAGAGGUCUGGCUGUCCCGUGGUACCAGAAGGAGGUCCUAGGGCAAUUGAAGGUAUCUGGCUGAGGCUACACCUUGGUGUUGUCUGAAAGCCCCUGGACUAACUCCAGUCCCCAACCACCUGUUAGGGUGUCAGCAAAAGGACCUCUGGUGCCUGCCUUCCUUUCUCUUUCUCUCUCUCUCUCUCUUUCUUUCCAGCUGUCAUGGUUCCUGUCUCCUCUCCUGUU